rfam:Epilithonimonas sp. 36-9 SCNpilot_cont_300_bf_scaffold_336, whole genome shotgun sequence.
UUGAAAACGCGUAAGUGAUUGCAACGACAUCCUUUUUCUAAAUUUGGAAAAGCUUUGGCAGAAAAAGAUAUAGUGGAAAGCACGACCCGCU